rnacentral:rRNA from 1 species
GUGUAGUAAGGCUUGCAUUACAUAGUCAGUACAGGUGCUGCAUGGCUGUGGUCAGCUCGUGCCGUGAGGUGUCCGGUUAAGUCCGGUAACGAGCGCAACCCCUAUGUUUAGUUGCCAGCACGUAAGGUGGGAACUCUAAAGAGACUGCCGGCGACAAGCCGGAGGAAGGCGGGGACGACGUCAAGUCAUCAUGGCCCUUAUGCCUUGGGCUACACACAUGCUACAAUGGCGGAUACAAUGGGUUGCCAAACCGUGAGGUGGAGCCAAUCCCAUCAAAGUCCGUCUCAGUUCGGAUUGCAGGCUGCAACUCGCCUGCAUGAAGUUGGAAUCGCUAGUAAUCGUGGAUCAGCACUGCCACGGUGAAUACGUUCCCGGGCCUUGCACACACCGCCCGUCACACCACGAAAGUCGGUUCUGCCCGAAGUGGUUGAGCUAACCCGCAAGG